UACGUAGGGGGCAAGCGUUGUCCGGAUUUAUUUGGGGCGUAAAGAGCGUGUAGGCGGUCAGGUAGGUCCGUUGUGAAAACUCGAGCUCAACCUCGAGACGCCGAUGGAAACCAUCUGACUAGAGUCCGGAAGAGGAGAGUGGAAUUCCCGGUGUAGCGGUGAAAAUGCGCAGAUAUCGGGAGGAACACCGGUGGCGAAGG
rnacentral:rRNA from 1 species